CCAAGGGUUCCAGGGCCAGGCUAGUCCGCCCUGGGUGAGUCGGGACCUAAGGCGAGGCCGACAGGCGUAGUCGAUGGAUGACGGGUUGAUAUUCCCGUACCGGCGAAGCACCGCCCAUGCUGACGCGCGGGUGCUAACCCACGCCCAGCCGCCAUAUAGACCGCAUGUGUCAGGUUCGCCUGACGGUGUGGUUGUGGUGGUGGGGUCUGGGGAUCCUCCGUGCAGGUAGGCAAGCGUGUUAACAGGGGUGACGCACAGUGGUAGCCCGGCGGACCUGAUGGCUUGGUCCGUUCAAGCGCGCAGCCCGUCCUCCAGGCAAAUCCGGAGGGCAGCCCAUUAGGUUGGGCGGGGUGAGGCGUGAUGGUGACCCCACGCUGGUGGGGGAUAACAGGGUGAUCCUGGGGUGCCGAGAAAAGCCUCGACGCGAUGGUGCCAGCCGCCCGUACCCUAAACCGACACAGGUGGUCGGGCAGAGUAUGCCUAGGCGCACGAGUGAAUCAUGGUUAAGGAACUCGGCAAAAUGCCCCCGUAACUUCGGGAGAAGGGGGGCCCGAUCCCUGAAACAGCUGGCCUGUUAGGGGGGAGGGUCGCAGAGGCCAGGGGGAAGCGACUGUUUACUAAAAACACAGGUCCGUGCGAAGCCGUAAGGCGAUGUAUACGGACUGACGCCUGCCCGGUGCUGGAAGGUUAAGAGGAACCAUCAACCCUCGGGUGAAGUGGUGAAUUUAAGCCCCAGUAAACGGCGGUGGUAACUAUAACCAUCCUAAGGUAGCGAAAUUCCUUGUCGGGUAAGUUCCGACCUGCACGAAUGGCGUAACGACUUCCCCGCUGUCUCAACCAUGAGCUCGGCGAAAUUGCAGUACGAGUAAAGAUGCUCGUUUCGCGCAGAAGGACGGAAAGACCCCGGGACCUUUACUACAGCUUGGUAUUGGCGCCCGCUAUAGCUUGUGCAGGAUAGGUGGGAGACUGUGAAGCCGUUACGCCAGUGGCGGUGGAGUCGUCCUUGAAAUACCACUCUGGUUAUGGCGUGCGCCUGAACCUGGGCCCGUGAUCCGGGUUAGGGACAGUGCCUGGUGGGUAGUUUAACUGGGGCGGUUGCCUCCUAAAGUGUAACGGAGGCGCUCAAAGGUUCCCUCAGCCUGGUCGGCAACCAGGUGUUGAGUGCAAGUGCACAAGGGAGCUUGACUGUGAGACCGACGGGUCGAGCAGGUACGAAAGUAGGAACUAGUGAUCCGGCGAUCCCGUGUGGGUGGGUCGUCGCUCAACGGAUAAAAGGUACCCCGGGGAUAACAGGCUGAUCCUGCC
rnacentral:rRNA from 1 species